rnacentral:rRNA from 1 species
GAUUUCACUAGUGAUUUCCGGUUGAUCCUGGCGGAGGCUACUGCUAUUGGGAUUCGAUUAAGCCAUGCGAGUUGAAUGAAUUUAGAUUCAUGGCGUACGGCUCAGUAACACGUGGAUAACUUACCCUUAGGACUGGGAUAACUCUGGGAAACUGGGGAUAAUACCGGAUAUUAGGCUAUGGCUGGAAUGCUUUGCCUUUGAAAUGUUUCUUGUAUUCGCCUAAGGAUAGAUCUGCGGCUGAUUAGGUCGUUGGUGGGGUAAUGGCCCACCAAGCCUAUGAUCGGUACGGGUUGUGAGAGCAAGAGCCCGGAGAUGGAACCUGAGACAAGGUUCCAGACCCUACGGGGUGCAGCAGGCGCGAAACCUCCGCAAUGUACGAAAGUGCGACGGGGGGAUCCCAAGUGUUAUUCUUAAUAGGA